ensembl:lncRNA ANXA2R-AS1 ANXA2R antisense RNA 1
ACAGGGUAACUUCGCCUUCGCAUGGGGAAACGGGCUGGUGCAGUGGUGUCAUCUUGGCUCAGUGCAGCCUCGACUUCCUGGGAUCCAGCGAUCCUCCCGCUUCAGCCUCUAGAGUAGCCGAGACCACAGGAACAGAAACAACACACUCAGACUUGAGAAACUGGUCUGGUUUAAAAGGGUUCCUGGCCUUACAGGUCCUGAAGAAAUUUUUCCAGAUGAAUUAGUGAUCAUCUCCCAACUAUUUGGACUUUGGUGUCUGCCAUUCUGUAUAUAACAGAACAUACUAUAAAAGCACAGUCUGUACUGGACAGAAUCAUUUACUCCCUUUCCUAGACCAGCCACGUAGCUUGGCCUGAUCUGGAGGCUAAAAUAUGGAGCCCCAUUCAUCAUCUUUGGAAGAGCUGUCUUGAAGGCAGCAUGUCCAGAGCCCCACAUGCCACCAGACUUAAGCCUAAAGUAAGCUGGGAUUGGGCAAUGGACAACUUCACUGCACUGAGCCACCACUGCCAAUGUCCCCAGUUCUGUGCACAUAUGAAGUACAGUGCAUUCAGGCUGCCAUGCUGGGCUUACAUAGGCUAGAGUCAUUUCUGAAGUUUAAAGGGGACAAAAAUGUUGUUGAGACCCACACUCUGGGGCCAAUGGCUGAAACCACAGAAGAGCUACACUCACUUGAAAAAUAAGUGUAUGCUGAGAUCGUUCGAAGAUGGCUGAAUAGGAACAGCUCCAGUCUAAAGCUCCCAGCGUGAGCAACACAGAAGACAGGUGAUUUCUGCAUUUCCAACUGAGCUUUGAAGAGAGCAGUUGUUCUCCCAGCAUGGAGUUUGAGAUCUGAGAACGGACAGACUGCCUCCUUAAGUGGGUCCCUGGCCCCCGAGUAGCCUAACUGGGAGACACCUCCCAGUAGGGGCCAACUGACACCUCAUACAGCCGGGUGCCCCUCUGAGACGAAGCUUCCAGAGGAAGGAUCAGGAAGCAACAUUUGCUAUUCUGCAAUAUUUGCUGUUCUGCAGCCUCCACUGGUGAUACCCAGGCAAAUAAGGUCUGGAGUGGACCUCCAGCAAACUCCAACAGACCUGCAGCUGAGGGUUCUGACUGUUAGGAGGAAAACUAACAAACAGAAAGGAAUAGUAUCAACACCAACAAAAAGGACAUCCACACCAAACCCCAUCUGUAGGUUACCAUCAUCAAAGACCAAAGGUAGAUAAAACCACAAAGAUGGGGAGAAACCAGAGCAGAAAAGCUGAAAAUUCUAAAAUCAGAGCAUUUCUUCUCCUCCAAAGAAUCACAGCUCCUCGCCAUCAACGGAACAAAGCUGGACAGAGAAUAACUUUGACGAGGUGACAGAAGUAGGCUUCAGAAGAUCGGUAAUAACAAACUUCUCCGAGCUAAAGGAGGAUGUUCAAACUCAUCGCAAAGAAGCUAAAAACCUUGAAAAAAGAUUAGACGAAUGGCUAACUGGAAUAAACAGCAUAGAGAAGACCUUAAAUGACCUGAUGGAGCUGAAAACCAUGGCACAAGUACUACGUGAUGCAUGCACAAGCUUCAGUAGCCGAUUUGAUCAAGUGGAAGAAAGCGUAUCAGUGAUUGAAGAUCAAAAGAAUGAAAUGAAGUGAGAAGUUAGAGGAAAAAAGAGUAAAAAGAAAUGAACAA